rnacentral:rRNA from 1 species
UCUAAAGUGGGUGGUAAACUCCAUCUAAGGCUAAAUAUGACCACGAGACCAGAUAGCGAACAAGUACCGUGAGGGAAAGUUGAAAAAAACUUUGAAAAAAGAAGUUCAAGAGUACGUGAAACCGUUCAGGGGUAAACCUGAGAAAACUCAAAAAAUCGAAGGGGGAGAUUCAUCGUCAACACAUUUGGUAUAUGUGCAAGUUAUGAUAUAAGUUAUCCUUGGGUUAMSUAUAAWACMUGCUUGUUCAUUUAUUGCUGGAUGUGUCGGCGUGCACUUCUCCCCUAGUAGGACAUCGCGACCCGUUGAGUGUCGUUCUAUGGCCCAAAUGGUAGUCUUUAAUUAUUUUAUAAUUGAAGACCAUUGGUGUACCUGAUCGACUGCUCGGCGGUAUUCACAUGGUAAUGAGUCGCAAUUAUUUGCGUCAAACCCAUUGCAAGCGCGGUUAGUUUCUCGGUAGUGCGGAUUUAAUGCCGUCACUGAGACUGACCAGCUGUUGGUUUAUGGUGUCUUUGACUGACUCGAAAUAAUUACCGGUCG